AGAUAACUGAUGGUGAAUACGUUGGAAAAUCUACAUGAAACCAGUACACUACAGCUCUUGGUGCUGGUCAACAAGUGUUAUCUUACUCGUUCUACACCCCACCUACAUCUAAACAGGGCAAACCUCUAGAACCAGAGGCUUCAAUAUUACGUUAUAGUCAACUCAUGGCUAACAUAAUUCAACAUGCAAAGCUGUUCUAUCCCCGCUGGAGAAUUCGUUUGUAUCACAAUGUGACGGACCAAGAAAAGGAGG